AAGGCUGCUUGAUAUGUUCUCUAAGACCUGGGUUGCUUGCUUGUUGAAGGCCAUAGCGAGUUUGUUCGUCGACUUCUGACAACCCCCCGAGGAAGUCAUGAAUCGCUGCAAGGGAAUGCAGCCCAUAGGUCCCAGGCCGAAGAACGUCAGCUGCCGAGCCCCUAACUUAUGCAAGAGCUGUAUAUUGACAGAUCCAGGGAGGUCCAUGAGUCACUGUACAAAGGGAGGAGGUAGUUGUUGAUGAAGUCAUUGCUUCCCAGUGCGACCACAUAACGAGCUUCUCUGAAGAAUUCGUCGGCAGCCUCACGACCAAUCUUCAUCCUUAUCAGCUCUUGGGUUCCUUGGAACAGUUCAAUUUGCUUGUAGAGGGAGAACCUCUGUAUCUGGAUCGCAUAAGAUCCCAUAGAACCACUGUUAGUCCUUCAUGGAGAUGGAAAGCAAAGUGAUUCCCAGGUUG